GGUACUAUAGUCUAACGGUUAGGAUACUCCCCUGUCACGGGAGAGGUAGGGUUUCGAUUACCCUUAGUACCGCCA
rnacentral:tRNA from 10 species